GACGAACGCUGGCGGCGUGCCUCAUACAUGCAAGUCGAACGCAGUGGGGACGGGUGAGUAACACGUGGGUAACCUCCCAUCAGAGGGGAUAACACUUGGAAACAGGUGCUAAACCGAUACUGAUGGAUGGACCCGCGGUGCAUUAGCUAGUUGGUAAGGUAACGGCUAACCAAGGCCACGAUGCAUAGCCGACCUGAGAUGGUGAUCGGCCACACUGGGACUGAGACACGGCCCAUACUCCUACGAGAGGCUGCAGUAGGGAAUCUUCCGCAAUGGGCGCAAGCCUGACGGAGCAACGCCGCGUGAGUGAAGAAGGUUUUCGGAUCGUAAAGCUCUUUUGUAAGAGGAGCGUUAUCUUACCAGAAAGCCACGGCUAACUACGUGCCAGCAGCCGCGGUAAGAC
rnacentral:rRNA from 1 species